rnacentral:rRNA from 1 species
GAGCGGCGAACGGGUGAGUAACACGUGAGUAACCUGCCCCUGACUCUGGGAUAAGCCUGGGAAACUGGGUCUAAUACCGGAUAUGACAUUCUCCGGCAUCGGAUGGGUGUGGAAAGUUUUUUCGGUUGGGGAUGGGCUCGCGGCCUAUCAGCUUGUUGGUGGGGUAGUGGCCUACCAAGGCGACGACGGGUAGCCGGCCUGAGAGGGCGACCGGCCACACUGGGACUGAGACACGGCCCAGACUCCUACGGGAGGCAGCAGUGGGGAAUAUUGCGCAAUGGGCGGAAGCCUGACGCAGCGACGCCGCGUGGGGGAUGACGGCCUUCGGGUUGUAAACCUCUUUCAGCAGGGACGAAGUUGACGUGUACCUGUAGAAGAAGCGCCGGCUAACUACGUGCCAGCAGCCGCGGUAAUACGUAGGGCGCAAGCGUUGUCCGGAAUUAUUGGGCGUAAAGAGCUCGUAGGUGGCUUGUUGCGUCUGCCGUGAAAGCCCGUGGCUUAACUGCGGGUCUGCGGUGGAUACGGGCAGGCUAGAGGCUGGUAGGGGCAAGCGGAUUCCU